rnacentral:rRNA from 1 species
CCUACGGGGGGCAGCAGUGGGGGAUAUUGCACAAUGGGGGGAACCCUGAUGCAGCGACGCCGCGUGGGUGAAGAAGCGCCUCGGCGCGUAAAGCCCUGUCAGCAGGGAAGAAAAUGACGGUACCUGAAGAAGAAGCACCGGCUAACUCCGUGCCAGCAGCCGCGGUAAUACGUAGGGGGCAAGCGUUAUCCGGAUUUACUGGGUGGAAAGGGGGCGCAGACGGCGAUGCAAGCCAGGCGUGAAAGCCCGGGGCCCAACCCCGGGACUGCUCUUGGAACUGCGGGGCUGGAGUGCAGGAGGGGCAGGCGGAAUUCCUGGUGUAGGGGUGAAAUGCGUAGAUAUCAGGAGGAACACCGGUGGCGAAGGCGGCCUGCUGGACUGCAACUGACGUUGAGGCCCGAAAGCGUGGGGAGCAAACAGGAUUAGAUACCCUAGUAGUC